CUUUUCUUUAUUUGUCUUUUAAAGGUCUCCAAGUUCCAAUGGGACUUCUAAUUUCAAUCGACCUUACUUUUUCUUUAUGUGAGUAGACUCUCACGUGAUGAACAUGACUAUUUCUUUGUUCCUCUUUUUCCUGGAACGUCUUCGAAGAAUGGAGCAGCAGCAACGUGUCAAAUUCUGAGUCAUGUUCAACUUUUGCCGACAAGUUUAUGCAUAUUUGGUGAUCUCAUGAAGGACGGGUUUUUGAGGACAGUCUCCAUACUUCUUGUUCUCAGAGCCAAAAAUUAAUAAACUCCUAUAUGAAUAAAACAAAUGGAAAAGCCAUUGAUUUUCUUCCUUUGCAUUUAAUCUCCAUGUGGAGCAACAUUUCUAUUUUAUUUGGGGAGUAUUUUAUCCGUAGUAGCACUCCACCUUUUCUCUUCCUUGCUGGAUGCUUUGUCUUCUAACUCAAUCUUCUGUGAACACAGAUAGCAUCUACAUCGUCUUCUUUUCCUAAUAACUUAAACAGCAGCCCGCACAAUUUUUUUUGGUGUUCUAUGUCGGCAGUACAUCCUUCCCUUACAAUUUUUCCUUGACUUCAAGACAAUGACGGCGGCGGUCGGGUUGCUCCUUUGUAGAGUUUCAGUGGCAAGUGAACUGAGGUGACACAAAUAAUGGAGACGGGUGUUCUACUUUGCUUUUGCUGCACCAUUUUCCUUUGUUUGAAUUUGAUGAAAACUCUCCAAGCAUCUUCAGUUUCUCUUUAAUAGGCAGGGAUCACUUCUUAUUCUUCCACGCCAAGCUGUUACAAUUACCGGGAGAGACCGUGACAAUCUGAUUUUGGAGGGCAUCAGUUGAAGGGUGUUGAUGACGAAGCGAUGGAAACAUUAUGUCUGUCCACUAUCUUAUAACCAUCAUCCGUGACUUGGUGUCCAGAACUUUUGAAGUUGUCCCUUGGUUACUUUUUACGAACCAGGACUGCACGUUUUUGUCUACUCGGAGUGCGGAUAGCACUGCCCUUGGGCUUUUUCCGAAUGACUGCCGGAAACAACGCUUGAAGAGCGGUGGUGUUGCGGUUUGGAUGAUUGCUUGGUUCACCGUCCUCGGGGCCCUUGGGCUUCUUCCGAAGGACGGCUGAAGACAACGGUUGAAGAGCGGUGGUGUUGCGGUUUGGUUGCUGCAUCAACACCUGCUGCCAUCGGUUGAGCAGGGAAGAGAAAUUUCCCAAGUUUUCUUCAUAGGUCUCGGUGAAUAACCAGAGAGAGCGAGAGAAAGGAUCUGGGGUUGCUUAUUUAGAGUCUCUACCUUCAUUUUUUUUGCUCUGGGGAAUGGGACAGUUUGAAGAAGCAAAGUGCUUCUUUUCUUCCUACAAAGCAAAGAAGAGAACCAACCCAGAAAAAAAAUUAAAAAAGAAUGAAACGGCUUAUACCUUCAAAUGCCGUGUAGUUUCUCCUGCUCUUUGUUCUUGCGUGUAGAUCUUGAUUUCUUCUUCUCCUUUCUUUUCCUUUGUUGUGCCUUUGCUCUCUUGCUUUGCCUCUCUAUUGUCUUCUCUGUGCUUUUCAAUUUCUGCAGCGUCUCCUCUCUUGUUUCCCCUGUCUUUUUUCUGUCUGUCCCUUUUUUUGUUGUUGCAGGUGAUGCCUAUUUAUAGGCAUCAUAGGAGAGUUCUAGAGCUUGUUACGUGGGGGGAGAGGUAGAGGCCAUGACCUCCUGCCACUUUCUGUUAACCACCAUUUCUGACUCCACGUUCCUUUUUGUUUGCAGAAAAUGGGGAGCACCUGUAUUUUUUUGCUUUUGUGUACGUUACUUCCCCCCUUUUGUAGGAGAAAAUAAAUUUUUUAUUUAUUUCUGAAUGUUUUUUGUGGGUAAAGCCCAUCCUCAUCCUUUGGGCUUGGAUUACACCUUGUAGUUUGACCCAAUUUGUAUGGACUCUAUUUUUUCAUA